UUUACACUUUUUUGUGUAGACCGCCUGCCUCUGUGUGUUUGAGUGUGUGCGUGCGUGCGCGUUCGCGUUGUUUUUUGUAUUUUGUACAGUUAUUUUACUUAUUUAUUGCAAUUGUGCUGCAUGCAAAGCAUUAAAAUAGGUUUAAAAUGUGGCCAAAACGUGUGCAAUAAAAAAAGUGAAUACUAAAAAGUGCAAGAAAAGCAAAGAAAAAAGGAAAAACAAAACCAACCUAGGGCGGCUAAAAGGCCCGCCUGUGCGUGUGUGUGUGCGUUCGCGUGUGUUUGUGCGUGUGUGCGUUCGCCUGCUUGCAACAGAUGCCGCAAAUCGAACGUGACGAUUUUGUUGUUGUUGCUUGACCUACGCAUAGACCACAUCGACGAUAGCAGCAGCAACAACAACAAGAACCACAACCGAUGCGCGCUCGAACCGAUAUAAAACAAGAAGCGACUACGACAAACGUCAUCAACUAUACCAACAACUACAACAACAACAAUAAUAACGACUAAACGAAAACAACAAUUCAUCAAUCAUGUUCAAGUGCAUUCCAAUCUUCAAGGGCUGCAAUCGGCAGGUGGAAUUUGUGGACAAGCGUCACUGUUCCCUGCCCCAAGUACCCGAAGAGAUUCUACGCUAUUCCCGCACACUCGAGGAACUCUUUCUAGAUGCAAAUCACAUACGCGAUUUGCCAAAGAACUUCUUCAGAUUGCACCGCCUGAGAAAGCUUGGCCUGAGUGACAAUGAAAUUGGACGCCUGCCGCCGGAUAUACAAAAUUUUGAGAAUCUAGUGGAGCUCGACGUUUCACGCAAUGAUAUACCAGACAUUCCCGAUGACAUUAAACAUUUGAAGAGCCUGCAGGUGGCCGAUUUCAGCUCGAACCCCAUACCGAAGUUGCCCUCCGGAUUCUCGCAGCUGAAGAAUCUGACCGUUUUGGGCUUGAAUGACAUGUCACUUACCACAUUGCCAGCCGAUUUCGGCAGUCUGACACAGCUCGAAUCGUUGGAGCUGCGCGAGAAUCUGCUCAAGCAUUUGCCGGAAUCGAUAAGUCAGUUAACGAAACUGAAACGCCUGGACUUGGGCGACAACGAGAUCGAGGAGCUGCCACCAUACCUGGGCUAUUUACCCGGUCUGCAUGAGCUCUGGCUGGAUCACAACCAGCUGCAGCGUCUGCCGCCCGAGCUGGGCCUACUAACACAACUGACCUACCUCGAUGUGUCCGAGAACAGACUGGAGGAGCUGCCGAACGAGAUCAGCGGUCUGGCCAGCCUAACGGACUUGGAUUUGGCACAGAACAUGCUCGAAACACUGCCCGAUGGCAUCGCCAAGCUGAGCCGACUGACCAUUUUAAAACUCGACCAGAAUCGCCUGCAGCGACUGAACGACACGCUUGGCAACUGCGAGAACAUGCAGGAGCUCAUACUAACGGAGAACCUACUCUCCGAACUGCCCGCCUCCAUCGGACGCAUGACCAAGCUGAGCAACCUGAAUGUGGAUCGCAAUUCGCUCGAGUAUCUGCCGCUGGAGAUCGGGCAGUGCGCCAAUCUGGGGGUCCUCAGUCUGCGGGAUAACAAACUGAAGAAGCUGCCGCCAGAGCUUGGAAACUGUACGGUGCUGCAUGUAUUGGACGUGAGCGGCAAUCAGCUGUUGUACUUGCCCUAUUCGCUGGUCAACUUGCAAUUGAAGGCUGUGUGGCUGUCGGAGAACCAGUCGCAGCCGCUGCUCACAUUCCAGCCGGACACGGAUGCGGAAACGGGCGAACAGGUGCUCUCCUGCUACCUGCUGCCCCAGCAAGAAUACCAGCCCCUUACCCCAGCACGCGACCUGGAAUCGGACUCCGAGCCAUAUGAGGAGCGCGAGCCCUCGCGGACUGUGGUCAAGUUUUUCGAGGAGCCCGCCCAGGAGAAGGACACGCCAUUUGUGCGCCAGAACACGCCGCAUCCAAAGGAUCUGAAGGCCAAGGCGCAAAAGUUGAAAGUGGAGCGUAGUCGGCACGAGGAGAAUGCCAAUCUGGUGGCAUUGCCCGAGGAGAAUGGACACAGACCAGUCGUGACAGAAACCACAGCGGAAACGCGAACCAUAUCGAAUAAUCACCAGCAGGUCAACACACCAACGGUGUCGCAGCAAAUACAACAACCAGCUGCUGUGUUGAAUUCCAAACAGCCAAGUGUGGGCAUUGUUUCACCAACGGGGACAGCAACAACAGCAACACCAACACCCAUAGCAGUGCCACAAACCGCACAGGGUAACUCACAGCAUGAGUUAGCCGCUAUCAACAACAACAAUUACAACACAGCUGCUGCAACAACAACGCCGAUUGCAGUUGUAGCAGCCACGCCCGCCGCCUCCGACGUUGGCGCUAAUGACGAGCAGGAGGAGGACUUUGAGUCCGAGCGGCGUGUUGGCUUCCAAGUCGAGGGCGAGGACGAUGAUUUCUACAAGCGUCCGCCCAAGCUGCACAGACGGGACACACCCCAUCAUCUGAAGAACAAGCGUGUCCAGCAGAUGACCGAUAAACAGGCCACCGAGAUAUUAGCCAAUGCCCUGGCCUCUCAGGAGCGCAACGAACCGCUACCCGUAACCCCUCAGCACUCACUGACCAAGCUGCAAUCGCCCAUUGAGGAGAAUGCGGAUGCAGAGCAAUUAGAACAGCUGCAGCAGGAACAGCAACUGCAACAACAACAACAACAACAGUCCUUCAACGCCCCCCUCACGCCCUUAGCAGCAACAACUGCUCCAACGUCCGAGCAGGCGGAUGCACUCGACGGCGUCACGGAGCUGCGUGUGGAGCAGUAUGAAAUACAUAUAGAGCGCACCUCUGCCGGACUGGGGCUGAGCAUAGCCGGCGGAAAAGGUUCCACACCCUUCAAGGGCGACGAUGAUGGCAUAUUCAUAUCGCGCGUUACCGAAGGAGGUCCGGCCGACAUGGCCGGCCUUAAGGUGGGCGACAAAGUGAUCAAAGUAAACGGCAUCUCGGUGUCCGAUGCGGAUCACUACCAGGCGGUGCAGGUGCUGAAGGCUUGUGGUGCAGUAUUGGUGCUGGUCGUGCAACGCGAGGUGACGCGGCUCAUUGGACAUCCGGUGUUCAGCGAAGACGGCAGUGUGUCGCAGAUAUCUGUGGAGACGCGUCCGUUGGUGGCUGAGGUUCCUCGCGUAGCUGCCACACACGAACGUUAUAUACCGCCGCCAAUUGAAAUAGUUCCAGAGCAGAAUCAGCUGUUGCAGCACCAACUACAAACACAACAACAAAAUCAACAGCAAUACACAGCUCCAGUUGUGCACAGCUACUCGGGCAAUGUGUUUGCAACGCCCUCGACUGUUUCCGAACCCGUGUCUAACGGCCUCACUGAGAAUGGAAAGGACGCACCGUUAAGCUAUAUUCAGUUGCACACAACGCUCAUACGCGAUCAAAUCGGCCAGGGUCUGGGCUUCAGCAUAGCCGGUGGCAAGGGCUCACCGCCGUUCAAGGACGACUGUGAUGGCAUUUUCAUUUCGCGCAUCACCGAGGGCGGCCUGGCUCAUCGGGAUGGCAAGAUAAUGGUGGGCGACCGAGUCAUGGCGAUUAACGGCAACGACAUGACGCAGGCACAUCACGACGCAGCUGUUGCCUGCCUCACCGAACCGCAGCGCUUUGUGCGGCUCGUACUGCAGCGUGAAUAUCGUGGGCCGCUCGAGCCGCCCCUCAGUCCACGUAGCCCGGCGGUGCUGAACUCGUUGAGUCCCUCCGGCUAUUUGGCCAAUCGACCAGCCAACUUCAAGCGCUCUGUGGGCGAUGUGGGCGCCACUGAGAUACAGCAGCCAUACAAAUACAAUACUUUGGCGACCACGCCCACCGCAGCAGCUACAUCUGGUGCUGCCUAUAACUAUAACAACAACGCGGCGGCCAGCAACACGCUGCCCAGUAGCAAGACAAAUGGCUUUGCUGUUGCGACUCAGCCAGCUCCCAUAGACAAGGUCACAGGUCAACCUGUGCCGGCGCCGCGUCGCACCAAUUCCGUGCCACUCGGCGAUAACGAUGUGGCGCCCAAUGGCGCUGCCUCCACCACCAGCGGUGAUUCUGGCGAGGCUCAGCCUUCCUCACUGCGCCCGUUGACCAGCGAAGAUUUUCAGGCGAUGAUACCGGCACAUUUUCUCAGCGGCGGCAGUCAGCAUCAGGUGCAUGUGGCCAAGCCCAAUGAGGUGGGCAUCAGUGCUGUCACCGUCAAUGUGAACAAGCCGCAGCCUGAUUUGCCAAUGUUUCCGGCAGCGCCCACCGAACUCGGUCGCGUCACCGAGACCAUCACCAAGAGCACGUUCACGGAGACGGUAAUGACGCGCAUUACCGACAAUCAGCUGGCGGAGCCAUUGAUCAGUGAGGAGGUUGUGUUGCCUAAAAAUCAAGGGUCCCUUGGCUUCAGUAUCAUUGGAGGUACGGAUCAUUCCUGUGUGCCUUUUGGCACACGAGAGCCCGGCAUUUUUAUAUCACAUAUUGUGCCCGGAGGUAUAGCAUCAAAAUGCGGCAAACUACGCAUGGGGGACCGCAUACUGAAGGUCAACGAGGCGGAUGUAUCUCGGGCGACCCACCAGGAGGCGGUGAUGGAGCUCUUGAAGCCCGGCGAUGAAAUCAAGCUCACCAUACAACAUGAUCCUCUGCCGCCUGGUUUCCAGGAAGUUAUACUCACAAAGGCUGAGGGCGAGCGCCUAGGUAUGCACAUAAAGGGCGGCUUGAAUGGACAACGCGGCAAUCCCGUGGAUCCCUCCGACGAGGGCGUAUUUAUAUCCAAAAUCAAUUCCGUAGGCGCGGCAAGACGUGAUGGCAGACUUAAGGUGGGCAUGCGCCUGCUCGAGGUCAAUGGCCACUCGCUGCUGGGUGCCUCGCAUCAGGAUGCAGUAAACGUCCUGCGCACCGCGGGCAAUGAAAUAAAAUUGGUCGUCUGCAAAGGUUACGACAAAUCCAAUUUAAUUCAUUCCAUUGGCCAGGCCGGCGGCAUGAGCACUGGCUUUAAUUCAUCGACCUCUUGCAGCGGUGGCAGUCGUCAUGGCUCGCGCGCCUCAGAAACAGGUUCGGAGCUGAGUCAAAGCCAAAGCGUUUCCAGCUUAGAUCACGAUGAGGAGGAGCGUUUGCGACAGGACUUUGAUGUGUUUGCCACCCAGAAGCCUGAGGUGGUCACGGGUGAGCCGACAAGCCAAACGGGCUUGGCAGCUGCCGCGGCCUUGGUGCAUGGCGCGCCAUCACCCACACUGCCUGCAGCCACGCCCUCGCCUGCUGCUGAUUUAGUGCGCAGUCAAACGCCUGUUGCGGCAGACACGUCAGCAGCUCAAACCGUGGCGCUCAUUCACGCCGAACAAGCACAACAACACCAACAGCAGACGCAGCUGGCGCCACUUGGUCAGGAGAAGAGCACCCAGGAGAAGGUGCUGGAAAUUUGUAGGGCUGCAGACGCCUUUACCACCGUGCCACCAAAGUCUCCCUCGGAGCAUCCGCAUGAGCAGGACAAAAUACAAAAGACGACAACGGUUGUCAUAUCGAAGCACACCCUCGAUACGAAUCCUACAACACCUACAACUCCGGCGACGCCCCAACUGCUGGCGCCGCUUCCAUCGUCGGCGACAGUGCCCGCAGUCGAGUCAGUGGCCGCCACAUCGACACAGACUCCCCAACAACAACAACAGCAACGCGCUACGCAGACGCCAGAGCGAUUGGCACCAGGGGCCCGCUACUCCUAUCAACAAAUGUUGGAGAAUAAAGAGGACACCACAGAUGGCAACAAGCUGCCAGCGAAGCCCAAAAAAGCCGAGCCCGUUUACAUAAUUGAUGACGAUGACGAAGAUGAUGAAGACAAUGAAGAUGAACAACCUUACGUGGAAGAUGACAACGAUCAGGAUGAGGACGACUCCCAGCAGCACGAGUCUUCACCGCCCUACGACUGGCAAUCCCCCCCAUCCUAUGCCGAUACUGACUCCGAUUGCUUUGACCGUCAGCGCGGUCGUUACACAAGCGAUUCGGAGAGCGAUAAUCGAACGAAAAAGCCGCGUUCUGGUCGCAGCACCCCAGACAGUAGCACAUACAGUGGUGUACAUCGCAAAUCUGUGAGUUUUGACCUUAGUGGAGAUGAGCGUUCAAAGUCAGACUACGAACGCUCACGUACGCCAGAUGGGUACGGUCGUGCCUACGAUUCAGAGCAGGAUUCACGUGGUGCAAACCGAACGCGAAUGCCUCGCAAGGGAAUUUUGCGCGCCACUAGUCCUAGUUCUUCGACUACAUCCUCACUGGAACGUUAUCAACAAGGGCGACCUGAGAAGCUAGUGCCUAUUGUACCGACAGUAGCGCGCAUCAAGGAGGUAGACUCUCCACAGUUGCAGCGCGUUUCGCGUCCAUCGUCGCCAGAGCGUCCAGUGAGUCGCAGCAGCAGUGGAUAUCGUAGCCCGCCGCCACCACCGCCCGCUGAGAGUGUUUUGCCAAGCAGCGAAAUCGAACGUGACAAUCCCUUCCGAGGUGCAAAGGAGGAUGAGUACACAGCUAUAGCUAAGGCGAUAUCAAGGUCCCCACGUUCUCCGCGCUCACCACGUGAUCAGUUCUUUUUCCCGGGUGCCUCGAAAUCAAGUGAAGAUUUACUAGAACAGUCACCUUCUAGCGGUCGCAGUACCCCCAGUACGGUGAUAUCCAAGUCCACAGAAAAUUUGACUGGCGCACGUCCGAAGGUACCGCCGCCUACAUUACCCAAACCGCAGCUUAAAAAAGCGGACCUGGUGCGAAAUUUUGCGUUGGAGAGCUUCCAAGCCAGCGAUGUGGGUCAUGGCGAUUUUGCAGUCUUCGAGCAUGAUGUACAUACAAAUACCAUACAUCCAGUGCCGGUGCCCCCCUCUCCAGGCAAUAAGUUGCCUGUGAGAGUAGGUGCUAGUAGAACUUUGCGUCCCCGUGAAAGUCCACCGCUGCCCCCCGUCAACUAUUCCACAAUGCCCAAAUCUCCCGCACCACCUACGACAGUCCCAUUGCUUGAGGAAUCCCUAUAUAUGGAGGCUCUGCCACCAUCGCAGCGUCGCCCUCAUGACUUUGUCCAUGAGAAUUCACCUGACAACAUUCUUGUCACCCCACAAGAACAUCGCGACAUAUUGCUGCGAGAGAACGAACUACGCAAUCAGCUGCGACGCGGCCAGACUCCUGAACCAGGUGUGCCCUGUGAACCGGCACCACCGAUACCCAUUGUGGGUGGCAAAUAUGCGGUAAACCCCUUUCUUGAUACUUGCGAUGAUAACAUUGACAGUCUACCAUUGCCACCACCACCACAACUGGCAGUUGACAACGAAAUAGACACCGAUCCAUUCAACAUCACCCAACACUCACAUCAUUUGCAUGAGCCACAGAACACAAACGCCGGCUACUCAACACCACUAACCACUGUCGCCACUAACGCAUCUUCUUCUAAUUCUAACCACACGCCUAACAUGCCGCCAUCGUCUACUCAGUCGCGCCUGAUGGAUGCCGCAGCGCCUCAACAGCUGGUCGGUGGCCCAAAUACGGCCCUUUCACCCACUCAAAUCUUUCCCACGGCGCAAAUACUGCCCGUACAGUAUGCGAGUCUGCCGCAACCGCAGCAGCCCAAUACGCUUACUUUGAACCAGGGUAUCCCCCAACAAACCGCCCAGUCCAACCCCCAGCCACAACCCAUUUUCAAUCUUGGCGGUUUUGUGCUGCUUCCCCAAGCCCAAUACAUGUCCAGUCACGCCACCGACCAGAGCAUCGUUUCGUCGAAUGCCUCAGCUGUUCUGCUCACCGGCGCGGGACCUGUUUAUCUGCAGUCGUCAAUGCUCCCGCCCGCGUCGUCGUCUCAGUUACCGUUAACACCUUCGGAAACUGCUGCUGAAAGUGAAACACACACAAAAGCAAUACCAACAACAAACAUACCAACUAAAGUGCCUAAAUCGGUAUCCGAUAAAAAACGCUUCUUCGAAUCUGCUAUGGAGGAACAACACAAGCCCACACAAAAGACAGAAAAAGUUUUCUCAUUCCUGUCAAAGGAUGAAGUCGAGAAGUUGAAGCAGGAAGAGGAGAAGAAAAUUGCAACAUUGCGUCGUGAUAAGAAAUCCAGAUUAUUCGAUGCCCCUGCCAUCAGCCAAAUUGACGAAGACGAUGCCAGGCAUUCUGAUAAGCAGCACAGGCAUAACACACAGCAUAACAACGAUGAUAAUGCCAGCUCGGGCGACAACAACAACAGUAGUGCCGAUAGCAGCAUUAAUGACGCCGAAAGCGAUGCAGGAUCAAUGAAGGCCGUUCGCGACGAUGUCGUUGACAAUGUUAUGUCGCGCAGCGUCGACUUGGCUGACUUCGAUGACGCGGAGGAUGUUAGCAGUGCAGGACAAAGCAAAAGAGAGCAGCCCACUGUACCUAAGACGCCAACACAUGCCACCACCAAGAUACCCAAGCAACAGAAGAAGCAGCAGCAGGAGCAACUAAUAGCCACGCCCGCACCAUCAGCUCCAAUGGAAGCUCCUAAGCCCUCGCUGCUGCCCAAGCCAAAGGUCAAAGUUAUUAUUCCGCCCGCACUGCAGCAGCGACUCAACAAGCAGCCACAGCAGCUGGAGAUAGGCGCGGUGGCAGAGCCAGCGGAGGUCCCGGCACACGCAACGAUUCCAGAGCAGCAACAGGAACAGGAGGAGCAGCUGGAACUGGAGUUGGAACCUGGCACGCCCACCAGCCCCCUCAGUCGCAUACCCGUGCGCACUCUAAAGGCUGAGCGACGCGCCCUUGCGGCAGCCGCACGUCAGGCAGGCCUGAGCUUCAAUGAAUACGUGCGUCAGUUGGAGAAUAAAUCGAUAGAGGAGCAGGGGCGCGGGGCAACGUCGCCAACUACGUCAACUACGCCCACGGGCAAGAGUCGCGCCACCAUUAAUGCUGAGAAGCGCGCUUCGUGGAGGGCUGCACGUCUACGUUCCCUGGAGCAGGGGGCGGUUGAGGCCCAGGAUGCCAUCAAAAACAUGCGCAAGAUGACCGACGAUUUGAUCGCGCACGAGUCGAGGCCACGUGAGCAGAAAAUAGUAUUUCCAAAAAUUGCCAUAAAAUCAAGCGAUGGCCCGGUCAUCGUGCGUGAGCGCGAGAAAAUACUCGAUGAAAAAAUAGUGCGCCGCACUGAAGAGGUGCCGUGCCCCAUAACGGGGCGGCCUCAAUUGCGCACCGUCGAGUACAUUGAGAAAAUCAUCGAAACGGAGGUGGAGACCUGCAAGGAGCGCAUCAUUUCGUUAGAGCUGCAGGAGCCCGAGGCGACGCUUGAGGAUGAGCAGCCACCACUUGAACUGCAGGGCAGCGAUGACGACGAGGACUCUGACGAUGAUGAUGAUGAUGAGGAAGAAGAGGAGGAGGAGGAGGACACCGCCUCCAUUGUCACUGUGCAGGCGAACAGCGAGAAGUUGUUUUUGCGUCACGAUGCCGAUAUGUACGGUCCCUCAUCCAUUGAGAGCGCUUCGUCGGGCAAGGUACGCAUUAAGGCCGUGCCAUUAGCACUGCACCAGACGCUGGCCAAGGAGGUGGUGGCACCGUCCACCACAUUCGUCCAACAAACCACAAUUGUGGAGGUUGUAAAUCCUGUCAUUGGCGGCGAUGGCAGCGCGCGAACCAUUCAAGUGGGUCGCACAACGGACUCCUUCUAUCCCUCUUUCGACGACGAUGAAGAUAGGGAAGAAGCGCGGCAGUGUGAAGAAGAGGAGGAGGAGGAGGAGGAGGGCGCGUUAGGGGUGGUACGCAGUGAAACUUUUGUGCUGCCUGGAUCCAGCGGCCAGACGGAGCUGUCAUUAAAUGCAAAAAUGAAGAAUGUACUCGAGGAGUUGCUGGAGAACGAGCGCGUCAAAUUGAAUUUGCAAAAGAGUCUCGAGGAGCACAGCGACGAUGAGGAGGGCGGCAGCGCCUAUGGCGAUGCACGGGACGACGAAGAGAGCGCUUACGAUGAUGCGCGCGAUGACGUGGAUGAUGUUGUUGACUUUGGGGUCGCCACAGUCACAACUGUUGUCCAUAGAACUAAUGACAACGACAAAAAUGGCAAUCAAAAGCUGCUCGACGAGCUGAUAAAGGACAGCAACCGCAAUACAAUUAUUGGCAAAUUGGCUGGCCAAUUGUUGGACGAUGACGAUGAAGACGAUGACGACGACGACGAGGACGAGGAGGAUGACGACGAGGAGAGCAGCGAGUCGGAUACGGACGAUGACAGCGACUCGGAUGUAGAGGACAAUGGCGGACCAGCGGCUGAGGCCCUGCACAUUGCAUACGUUCAGGGCGCAAAAGUCAUCGAGAAUCUCAAUACGGUGAAAACUGAGGCUAUCGGGGCUGCCGGCAGCAAGUUGCAAAAGUCACAGACAUACAACACCAUGAAGGAGGCGGCAGCGGCGGCGGCAGCCACAGAGCAGGCUGCACAGGAUGAGAAGGAUGAGAGUCCAGCCACCGUCGACGUGAAUUCUGGGGAGGCUGAGGCACUGGCUCCAGCUACAUUGGCGCAACUGCAGGCCGAACAGCGUGCAUUGGCCGAGAUCUCAAAACAGUUGCGUAAAUCAGUGGAGGAUUUGCUGGGCGCCGAAGGGGGCGGUGGGGCAGUGGUUGAGACGCGGCAUACCUACACACUGCCAGCGGACAACGCCGCUGUGGUUACCGUGACCGAAGUGGUGAAGAAGACGAAGACAAAGGGCGGCAAGAAGCACAAGGAGACGGGAGAGGAGCUCUUCAAUCGCCUAUUGAGCGCUGGCGAGGGGGAGAAGCAUGUAUUCGAUCAGCAAACAGGCGAGACGAUAACAACAACGACAACAACCACCGAAUCAGUGGCCAGCCCAGAUGUUGCCGAGCCAAGCACAAGCAUAGUUACAACCACACGCACCGUUUCCAACAUUGUCACGAGCGGUAUUCCGCGACCAGAGGCGUCCAGACAGAUCAGCAGCACGAACCGCAGUGGCAACAAUAACAACAACAAUCGCAACAAAAACAAGCGCAAGGGCAAGAAGAAGUAGAGAGGACGACGGUAUGUGUUUCUGGUUACGCAUACGCCCCGUUGGCCUCAUCACAAAAAAUAAAUGCGCCAACGAGUUGACUUUGAAAGUAGAUUUGAUGAUCUUUGACAAAAACUCAGAGCAUUCCGCAGCCCCUCCCCAAUGCGAUGGGUUCGACUAUAAUAUAAGUGAACACUCACACAAACACACACACACACAGAGACACACACAAAUAAACAAAAAGACGGGUAUUUCAACCACCACAAUUCGUUGGUCUAUUUUUCUCCAUAAGCGCGCCCAGUUGUAAUUUUGUUUUAGUCCCCGUAGCGUACUUGCAGAGAAGUGUAAAAUUUAAAUAUAUUAUUAUACCUGCGUUUUCGUGGUAGUUAACAAUUGAAGUUUCUACUCGUACGAAUAAACAUACACACAUACAUACAUAUACUAUACAGAUAUAAAUGAAGUUAUAUUGUGCGCAUCGUUAAAUUUUUAAUGUAAAAACGAGCAAAACUGUAACACAUACAGACAUACGAUAUUUAGCAUGUAACUGCAACAACAA